AUACAGAGGGUGCAAACGUUGCUCGGAAUUACUGGGCGUAAAGCGCGUGUAGGCGGUUUUAUAAGUCCGACGUGAAAGCCCAGGGCUCAACCCUGGAAGUGCGUUGGAUACUGUGAAGCUGGAGUCCUGAAGAGGAGAGCGGAAUUCCCGGUGUAGAGGUGAAAUUCGUAGAUAUCGGGAGGAACACCUGUGGCGAAGGCGGCUCUCUGGGCAGGUACUGACGCUGAGACGCGAAAGCGUGGGGAGC
rnacentral:rRNA from 1 species